rfam:Myotis brandtii contig126077, whole genome shotgun sequence.
GGUGGUUCUUGGGUGAUGCAUCCCAGAAUCCGGCUCUCUCCUCUCUGGAUUCAGUGCAUCACCCAAGAACCGCA